rnacentral:tmRNA from 1 species
GGGGGCGAAACGGCUUCGACGGGAAUAUGGAAGCAUUGGUUGCAUACCGAGACUAUCACUCGUAAAACGAUAGACCCUAAACAUAAUCGCAGAUGAUUAUAACUACGCCCUGGCUGCUUAAGCCGGCCAGCGUCCUAUCCAGCUUUUUCUGCGGGCAGGAAUAGGGCGACGACAAGCAGAAUAGUUUGAUAAACAAUCCUGUCGGUUUAUCAAGCGAAACUUAUUACAGGAUGGCGAUGUAAAAAUUGUGUUCGGAGAAGUUUUACAUUGCGACAAUAAAAUUCGAACUAUGUAUGUAGACGCCAUUGUGGAAUAUUUGCGGACGCGGGUUCGACUCCCGCCGCCUCCAUUU